AUUGAACGCUGGCAGCAGGCCUAACACAUGCAAGUCGAACGAGUGGCGGACGGGUGAGUAAUGUCUGGGAAACUGCCUGAUGGAGGGGGAUAACUACUGGAAACGGUAGCUAAUACCGCAUACCAUCGGAUGUGCCCAGAUGGGCUUAGCUGGUGGGUGGGGGAACGGCUAACCUAGGCGACGUUCCCUAGCUGGUCUGAGAGGAUGCGCAGCCACACGGGAACUGGGACACGGGCCAUACUCCUACGGGAGGCAGCAGUGGGGAAUAUUGCACAAUGGGCGCAAGCCUGAUGCAGCCAUGCCGCGUGUAUGAAGAAGGCCUGCGGGUUGUAAAGUACUUUCAGCGGGGAGGCGUUACCCGCAGAAGAAGCACCGGCUAACUCCGUGCCAGCAGCCGCGGUAAUAC
rnacentral:rRNA from 1 species